AACCCGCGUUGUGGACACUUCCGUAAGAGGUCCUUGAAUCAUUCCCAUGUCUCAAACAAGGAUUUGAGCUCUAUCUGAACAAAUGAUGAUAUCUCAUUAUGAAGCU